AUUGAACGCUGGCGGCAGGCCUAACACAUGCAAGUCGAACGAGUGGCGGACGGGUGAGUAAUGUCUGGGAAACCGCCCGAUGGAGGGGGAAAAAUACUGGAAACGGUAGCCAAAACCGGAAAUCGGCGGAUGGGCCCAGAUGGGAUUAGCGAGUAGGUGGGGUAAAGGCUCACCUAGGCGACGAUCCCUAGCUGGUCUGAGAGGGUGACCGGCCACACUGGAACUGAGACACGGUCCAGACUCCUACGGGAGGCAGCAGUAGGGAAUCUUGCGCAAUGGGCGAAAGCCUGAUGGAGCCAUGCCGCGUGUAUGAAGAAGGCCUUCGGAUUGUAAAGUUCUUUCAGCGGGGAAGCGUUACCCACAGAGAAAGCACCGGCUAACUCCGUGCCAGCAGCCGCGGUAAUAC
rnacentral:rRNA from 1 species